ACAGCUAGUGACUCUUGAAACCAU
rnacentral:piRNA from 1 species